ACGCCCCUCGGGAGCUCAGGUCCGCCGCAUCUCCUGGGAAACCGAAGGGCUCGGUCGGCCGGUUGCGGGCAUUCUGGCCUCCUCAGACCCGCCGCCGGCCGGCCACCAC
rnacentral:sRNA from 1 species